rnacentral:rRNA from 1 species
AGCGAACGCUGGCGGCAGGCUUAACACAUGCAAGUCGAGCGGUAAGGCCCUUUCGGGGGUACGACGAGCGGCGAACGGGUGAGUAACACGUGGGUGACCUGCCCUCAGCUCUGGGAUAAGCCCGGGAAACUGGGUCUAAUACUGGAUAUGACUCCAUGGUGCAUGCCGUGGGGUGGAAAGCCUUGUGCGGCUGAGGAUGGGCCCGCGGCCUAUCAGCUUGUUGGUGGGGUGAGGGCCUACCAAGGCGACGACGGGUAGCCGGCCUGAGAGGGCGACCGGCCACACUGGGACUGAGACACGGCCCAGACUCCUACGGGAGGCAGCAGUGGGGAAUCUUGCGCAA